rnacentral:misc_RNA from 1 species
AGACGCGUGCACGUACCCAGUCGCACACCGGCUCCUUUUGCGACUGUGUGCGUGUACGUGUGGGUGUCGACAUCACCGUUAUUUGAGGAGAGACACGGCACUCGCAUCGCGCCUUCGGUCGCCACUACUCCCCCCUCCCCUCCGCCUCGCUCUCUCUCUCUCGCUUGUGGACGAGGCAGCGGGGCAGGGCAGGGCGGUGCGUCCUCGUGUACGGCGGACUCCAGACGUUUCGUUUUUGCACAAAAAACUCAGAGCUGAAAGGAGAGGUAAAAGACAAGAAUGGGAAUCCUGACAGAUAAGAAGAGCAGCCACACACACACACACACACACACAAAGGAAACGCGCAGAGUCGGAUGGACGCACACAUGCAUGAUGCGUGCGCCCGUGUUUAUGCGCGAGACCGUGUGGCUCGGCAUGCUUAGCCUGGAGAGGGAGCGGGAAAGCGACUGCCUCUUCUGGUGUUUGGAGCGACGCUGGCUUCGCCACUUGGCCACCUGCACCAAUGGGCACUCCCUGUCUCUACUCCCCUGCCGAUGUUGGUGACUGACCACGGAUGGGCCCACGUGCAUGGGCAUGUGCAUGCGAGGUCAAUGGUUACAGCCUCUUGAUGGUAAUCCCACCGCAGCAAGACAUGACUGUCGUAUCGCGAGCGGCGGCAUUUGCAGUGCACGGCGGAGGCGAGCACAGUAUGGCCGGCGGCAAGAAAUGCUGAUGCGGCGACUGCCCCCCUUCCCUUCCCUUUGUUUCCUGUGUGCGUGCACGCUGUUGUGGUUGUUUUCUUGUUUGCCCUCCAUUUUUAUUGCCCUCUUCGCUCUGCUCCCUCUGUUGUCCCCCUCUUUGUUGCUCGGUGCUUGCUGUCCCUCGGGCGCCCCUCUAACCCGCAG